rnacentral:rRNA from 1 species
UAUCCGGAAUUACUGGGCGUAAAGCGCGCGCAGGCGGGUCAACAAGUCAUGCGUGAAAGCUCCUGGCUAAACUGGGAGAGGUCGGAUGAAACUGUUGGUCUUGAGUGUGGCAGAGGCGUGUGGAAUUCCGCGUGUAGUGGUGAAAUGCGUAGAGAUGCGGAGGAACACCAGAGGCGAAGGCGGCACGCUGGGCCANAACUGACGCUGAGGCGCGAAAGCAUGGGUAGCGAACGGGAUUAGAAACCCCGGUAGUCCAUGCCGUAAACGAUGUACACUAGACGUUCGUGCAACUACGGUUGUAUGAGUGUCGCAGCAAACGCGAUAAGUGUACCGCCUGGGGAGUACGGUCGCAAGGCUAAAACUCAAAGGAAUUGACGGGGGCCCGCACAAGCAGCGGAGCGUGUGGUUUAAUUCGAGGUUACGCGAAGAACCUUACCUGGGCUUGACAUCAUAGCUAAGCCCUGUGAAAGCAGGGCGUGCCUUCGGGCCGCUAUGACAGGUGCUGCAUGGCUGUCGUCAGCUCGUGUCGUGAGAUGUUCGGUUAAGUCCGAAAACGAGCGCAACCCCUGGUGCUAGUUACAAGUGUCUAGCGCGACUGCCCGUGGCAAACGGGAGGAAGGUGGGGAUGACGUCAAGUCAGCAUGGCCUUUAUGUCCAGGGCUACACACACGCUACAAUGGCGCAUACAAUGGGCAGCGAAACCGCGAGGUGAAGCGAAUCCUAAAAAGUGCGUCGUAGUUCGGAUUGCAGGCUGCAACUCGCCUGCAUGAAGUCGGAGUUGCUAGUAACCGCAAAUCAGCACGUUGCGGUGAAUACGUUCCCGGGCCUUGUACACACCGCCCGUCACGUCAUGGAAGCUGGUCACGCCUGAAGUCGGGAAGCUAACCGCAAGGAGGCUACCGCCGAAGGCAGGGCUGGUGACUGGGACGAAGUCGUAACAAGGUAACCGUAAAGGGCGAAUU